rnacentral:rRNA from 1 species
AACGAACGCUGGCGGCAGGCUUAACACAUGCAAGUCGAACGCCCCGCAAGGGGAGUGGCAGACGGGUGAGUAACACGUGGGAACGUGCCCUAAGGUUCGGACUAUUCCCGGGAAACUGGGAGAAAUACCGAAUGUGUCCGAGAGGAGGAAGAUUAUCGCCUGAGGAUCGGCCCGCGUCGGAUUAGCUAGUUGGUGGGGUAAUGGCCUACCAAGGCGACGAUCCGUAGCUGGUCUGAGAGGACGACCAGCCACACUGGGACUGAGACACGGCCCAGACUCCUACGGGAGGCAGCAGUGGGGAAUCUUGGGCAAUGGGCGCAAGCCUGAUCCAGCCAUGCCGCGUGGAUGAUGAAGGCCUUAGGGUUGUAAAAUCCUUUCGCCGAGGACGAUAAUGACGGUACUCGGAGAAGAAGCUCCGGCUAACUUCGUGCCAGCCGCCGCAGUAAAAC